GGAGCAUGUGGUUUAAUUCGAUGCAACGCGAAGAACCUUACCUACUCUUGACAUCCAGGGAACUUAGCAGAGAUGCUUUGGUGCCUUCGGGAACUGUGAGACAGGUGCUGCAUGGCUGUCGUCAGCUCGUGUUGUGAAAUGUUGGGUUAAGUCCCGCAACGAGCGCAACCCUUUUCCUUUGUUCCCAGCGAUUCGGUCGGGAACUCAAAGGAGACUGCCAGUGAUAAACUGGAGGAAGGUGGGGAGGACGUCAAGUCAUCAUGGCCCUUACGCCUAGGGCUACACACGUGCUCCAAUGGCAUAUACAAAGGGAAGCGACCUCGCGAGAGCAAGCGGACUUCAUAAAGUAUGUCGUAGUCCGGAUUGGAGUCUGCAACUCGACUCCAG
rnacentral:rRNA from 1 species